UCUAAAAAAGUCUUCUACAUAUAUGACGUCAUUUAGUGAUUCUCACCAUAACCCUAAAGAAUUUGUUUAGUAGUGGAACAUUUCCAUUCUACUGAUGAGCUAAUGGGAGCUCAGAGAGGCUGAGUGACUUGUGCAAAGACACACAGUGCAGAUGUGUUGAGGUCAGGUUUUUGAACUUAAUUCUGUCUGCCUUCAAAUUCCGCAGGGCCACUCUGGGCACACAACGUUCCGGAACUUGGACAUCCAGGAAUUCCUGUCAAUUAGGCAUUUAUUCACAGAAUAAACAUUUCCCUGAAGAGCUCUCCACAGCUGGCCAAUCGCAUGACCCUGCCACAUUUCGAUCUAGGUGGAGCUGGACGAAACCCUUCACACAUCGUCUCAGUGAUCUUCAACCUGGUAAGGUGUUCAAGUCAGAAGUGGUUUCUGUCUCACUGUCACCCUGGAAAGACGGUUCAUCAUCUGGGUCUUGGUUUCUACAAGUGGACAGAAGGUAAUGAUAACACUUACCUCGCUUCUUAUAAAAACGAG